rnacentral:rRNA from 1 species
CCUACGGGCGGCAGCAGUGGGGGAUAUUGCACAAUGGGGGGAACCCUGAUGCAGCGACGCCGCGUGGGUGAAGGAGUGCUUCGGCAUGUAAAGCCCUAUCGGCAGGGAAGAAGCAAGACGGUACCUGACUAAGAAGCCCCGGCUAACUACGUGCAAGCAGCCGCGGUAAUACGUAGGGGGCGAGCGUUAUCCGGAUUCACUGGGUGUAAAGGGAGCGUAGACGGCCAUGCAAGCCAGGGGUGAAAGCCCGGGGCCCAACCCCGGGACUGCCGUUGGAACUGUGCGGCUAGAGUGCGGGAGGGGCAGGCGGAAUGCCUGGUGUAGCGGUGAAAUGCGUAGAUAUCAGGAGGAACACCGGCGGCGAAGGCGGCCUGCUGGACCGCGACUGACGUUGAGGCUCGAAAGCAUGGGGAGCGAACAGGAUUAGAUACCCUAGUAGUC